CACAUGCAGUCGAGCGGUAGAGAGAAGCUUGCUUCUCUUGAGAGCGGCGGACGGGUGAGUAAUGCCUAGGAAUCUGCCUGGUAGUGGGGGAUAACGUUCGGAAACGGACGCUAAUACCGCAUACGUCCUACGGGAGAAAGCAGGGGACCUUCGGGCCUUGCGCUAUCAGAUGAGCCUAGGUCGGAUUAGCUAGUUGGUGAGGUAAUGGCUCACCAAGGCGACGAUCCGUAACUGGUCUGAGAGGAUGAUCAGUCACACUGGAACUGAGACACGGUCCAGACUCCUACGGGAGGCAGCAGUGGGGAAUAUUGGACAAUGGGCGAAAGCCUGAUCCAGCCAUGCCGCGUGUGUGAAGAAGGUCUUCGGAUUGUAAAGCACUUUAAGUUGGGAGGAAGGGCAGUUACCUAAUACGUGAUUGUUUUGACGUUACCGACAGAAUAAGCACCGGCUAACUCUGUGCCAGCAGCCGCGGUAAUACAGAGGGUGCAAGCGUUAAUCGGAAUUACUGGGCGUAAAGCGCGCGUAGGUGGUUAGUUAAGUUGGAUGUGAAAUCCCCGGGCUCAACCUGGG
rnacentral:rRNA from 1 species